rnacentral:lncRNA from 1 species
GUAGAUGAUUAGUCUUGGGAGCAAAAUCAAUGAAAGCAGCAGUUAGUCAGAUGUCUUCUGACAUAAUUUUUCCUGUGUGCAGGUGAAGUAUUUUGCAGUAGUCUUAGGAGCUGUUGUUAUUUUCUGCUGGCUCUAAAGUCAAAAUUUGAAAAAAUAACUGAAGGAUUUAAGUGUGCUCAUGUGGGUGAAACAGUUAUAUGGGAUUUACACAGGAGGGAAAAAUAGAAAGGGACAAAAAUCUCAUAAUUUUCUCACCACAAACUCUCACUGAAACUUCCUAGGUUUUUUUGUUCCUGAGGACUCCUUUCUUCCCUCACAUGCUGCUUAUCUGGGUGAAGAAUCAUGGCUGGAAUUUAUAAAUGCUUCUCUGUUGUGCAAAGGAGCUUUGAUAGCAUGAAAUGAAUAACAGGACAAUGAUUGCUGUCUGAACAGGCUGGCCUCAUGGGGGCAGGUUUCAAGUGGCUGCUGUGUGGGAUACUGGCAGCAUGUGGAAUACAGGGCCUGAAGGAGAUGCUCAGCACCCAGCAUUACAGGAUUCUGCUUUUUUCUUGACUUUGGUUCUGCUUUUUAAACACUGACCCCAGGAGAAGCUCUGCAGCAUGAGAAGAAAGCUCUUCUGCUCUUUGUCCUUUGGAAUACAGAGAAAACCAGCUAGAGCCCCAAAAUGGCUUUUAUUUGCACCUACCUGCUGCCUCUCCAUCUCUUCCAGCUGGGGUGACAAAUAACAGGGCCCACUCUGGAGGUCACUGAGGAAAUGAUGCUGAGAAUUCACUCCCUGGACAAAGGUAAGGCUUGCCUGUCACCACAAAGUUGUUAAGAGUAUGAAAGCUAUGUUCAGUGUGCUGGUAAGAGAUGG